CCCACAGAUUAGAUCUUCAAGCAGACAUUGGGCAAAAGUCCCAGGUUCACAGACAUCCUUAGGUCAAUGAGGAACUUUCCAUAGCUGUCCAGUUGGAGAGAGAAAUGCUGAGUCACAGAUUCGUUUCCUUCGGAUUCCGUGAAGGAAAGGCACUAUCUGGAGUCAGCUUAAGGAGACAGGAAUGACCAGCAGGCUGAGAAUCCCUCAGCUUCACACGACAGGACAACCCAAGCCUCCUGAAGGUCACUGUUGGGUGAUUUGAGGAGUGGGAAAUGAGUAAGAGAAAUUUAAAAAGUGUACCAAGAAGGAAUACAAGGAAACGGAGCAAGGCACAGUGGCCAAUAUCUGUAAUCCCAGCACUGUGGAAGGUGAAGCAGGAGGAUGGGAAUGGAACCCGGGCCCUUUUUAGUAAGUACCGUUCCAUUGGUUGAUAAGACUCAGUGACCAAGGCUGCAUACAGUGCUAGAGGGACAUGAGUCCAUCAUGUCAGGGACACAUGGUAACCAGCAGCAGACAUAAUGCUGGAGCAGAAGCUGAAGACUCACAUCGUGAACCUCAAACACCAAGAAAGGACUGCACUAGAAGUGAUGUGCUGUUGAGAUGGCUCAGCUGUAAAAGUGAUUGCUGCUCUUGCAGAGGACCUAGAGACAACCCAAGUUCAGUUCCCAGCACAGCACCCACACCAGGCAACUCCCAACCACCUCUACCUCCCACUCCAGGCUAUUCAAGACCCUCUCUGGCUACUGUGGGUACCCAUGCACAUCUCUCUCUCUCUCUCUCUCUCUCUCUCUCUCUCUCUC